CCUUUUAUCAAAGUACGUGGAAUUUGCAUCUACUUUAUCGAAUUAUGAAAGCGAAAAUAUAUCUACGUUCAACUACAAAAGUGUAAGACAACAAUGCGGCAAGAUCCAGCGUGAAAGGGUUAGAGGAUGAUCGAAGAGCGUGUUCACCGACAAAAGCCGACUCUUUCUCCGGUUUCUCUGCGAACGCUGGACCGAUACGCCAAGAGAGCCAGUUCGAAGUCGUUGGUUCGAGGCAGUCUGUUGUAUAUUUCAUGAACGGUGAGUUUCCAUCCUCGUCGGUGUAUCGGGAGAGAAGGACAAACUGGAGCGCGUCGCUGACGUGGUACGAACCACGCACGAUCCCAUCGUCGCACCGUUUUAUUAUACGUAACGCUCGCGUCUGCGGAAAAUUGCGUUUUUUCACAUAAGCUUUACGCCACGCGAUAGGGGUGAUUACGCCGCAUCUCGUGUUUACGAACGCUACGAACCUUCUGCUACCUUUGCAACCUUCUACCCUUUCCUUCGCCUCGGCAUCGUCUUUUUUUAAAUUCCCUUUAAAGAAUUUUGUUAGCAAGUUUUCUGUAUUUCGUAAUAAAAGUUCAGUUCCGAGCGACGUCCUCCCACCCGAAUAAUUAUACAAAUUAAAUUACCGUAUAAUCGCCGUUCCAAGUUUCGGUUUUCACGACAAAAAUCGAUAUGGAAAAGUCACGGUUUUCGAAUGCCACGGUUUCCAGCACAAAAGGGUUCGCAGCGACCCGACUUGCACCCUUUGCCUCUCUUCUCGUCGGAUAGAUUCCAUUUGCCUCUCUCGAUGUCACCCUAUCGUUCUCCAAGCCUGUUUACCUGUCUCCUCUUCGGCUGGCUGAGUCGACCCACACACGAUCCGCGCUUCAAGGUUCCGCUCGCGGAUCACUUGGCAGACGGUGCGAACGCGCGCGCACACACGUGUGUCGUCCCCUCUUUUACUCUCUUCUUCUCCCGUUUGCUCCGCGUCGAUUGCACACUGCACCAUUGCACCGCGGGGCCAUUGGCCUCUCUCCGCUCGGUAUCGUCACGCGUGCUCGCUCGUUUCUCGGCGACACACAGCUCCAAGCCGAAAAGCAACGUGCUGCGAGAGCGCGCUUUUUUCUGCACCUCUCUCCUCCGCGAUUUAUCGCGAGGCCAUGCUCGUACCUCGUACCUCGUAUCGACUCCGCAUGCUCGCAUGCUCGCCUGCGUCACGCGCCAAACGAGGACGGGUCACCGUGUCGCGAGCCGAUUUUUCCUAAGUGUAUGUUCGUACGAUCGGUUGGAAUUGUGGCUUUCGCGCGAAUAUCGAAGAGAUAAGAAUUGGUCCUUUCGAGCAGCUACCCACGUUCGAGCCACCUUGGGAUCAAAGUUUUAUUUUUUGCUGCAUUUCGUACGAGCGACGCGGCAAUUAUUCGAAGAACGUAGAAUCUCUGACGGACUUUUAUUCGAAUUUCCGAUGCUGCGUGAUCUUUCCCGACUCCGUGUAAAAGAUACAAAUGUCGUGUCCAUUUCAAGACUUUAAGGUUCUCCGUGUGUUAUUCGGCGAGCCUACUCUCUGCGAGGCUUUUUAUAAAAUUACUCAAAUUCGUAAAGGUGCAUGAAUUUCUACGGUUCUACGCGAAGAAUUCGAGCAUUAUGCGUAGCAUUGCUUCUCCGCUACAAAAUUUUUCAUUAGAUUGCUACAUUCAUUGGAUUACUCUCCGUCAAAAUACACAAGUAUCAUGUCCACUCGCAUAGCACUGCUUACGGCGUCUCUUCUAAAAUAUUUUCCAUGGAAUUCCUCGAAUUCGUCGAAUUAUAUGAAUUUCCAGGAAUCAUACAUCUCCAGGGAAAAUACAAAUAUUCUGUCCCAUUGCAAAGCUUUCACGAUUCUCCUACGAGCAAGCGCGCCGAUUAAUUGCUGCGUAGUUUCUCCGUUAAUCAAUCUUCCAUCACGUAGCUUGUAACGGUGUCCCCGGAAUGAAGCCGCCGCUAAUGGAGUCGAAACUCUGCCUAGACCAUCGAGCCUCCAAAUUUAGCGAAAGCGAGGAAGCAGGGUGCCCCGUAGGCGAUUAAUUAAUUUCUAUCUGCUCCGAUCUUGGUCUGUCCGAAUCGCGAGAUUCUCGUUUCCUGUGCGCGCUAUCGGCCUACCAUAAAUAACGCGAACGCAGAAAUAAACGCGGUAUCGGGCCAGUCUCGCUCGUCUCUCGAUUAUGCAUUAGCUUGUACACGCGCUCAAGCUUCUCUCUCGCCUGUAUCUCUAUCUUUGCUGCGUCUGACUAGUAUCGUCGGUCUGUCCACUAUCUACUUACUGCCGCUGGCUCUUUCUCGGUACACGCGGGAGAGGGCUGAAUUCGUAGGAGGAUCGACGUCAAUGGAGAUCGCUGUUUCGAAUGUUCUACACGGAAUCCUUUUAUCACCAGUCCGCGUGCCCGCCCUGAAAGAAACUACUGUGCACGUGCGUCAAUGGUCGCGUUCCAGCGUACGGUUUUAUCAGCGAUAGCAAUAUCAGCCCCUUGCUUUUUCUUCGUCGCUUUCUUCCUACAUUUUUACUAGAUCAUAAGGAACGUUGCAUUCUAUUUUUAUUCGCGAGUAGUUUUUAGGAAAACUUGGGAUUUCCUUCUAAUGUGAAAAUUAAAACGUUUAGAAAUUAUCGAAGGAUUAACUUCCGUCUGCCACAGGUCCCUAGUAAUCGUCACGAGCAUAGAAUGUGUUUUACUUUACAGCGAUGAGACGUAAGAUUCUUUAUAGAGUAUAAUAACGAUCAACGAAUUCGGUUCGACACUUGCUGUCAUUUUCAUGCGUGUACUCCGAUUUCAAGUCACUGAUGCUAAUUUUACGUUUACUGUUUUUCUGCUAUGUAAAUAUCGUAUAACUACGUGUUUCCUGUUCCCCACUGCAAUAUGUCGCAAUAACUACGCGUUUCCUGUUUUCCAACAUAAUAUAGCAAUUUCAAUAUUGGAUGGUAAUAUACACAGCAAAGUAAACGAGCGUUUCGCUUUUUCAAUUUUCUUUGUUCUGUUUUCUAGGUGUCCCGCGUUCGUGAAAAUAACUCUUACACGAUCCAAGGAAUUCGAAAAUUACGAUUCUCUUGCUCAACCGUCGAUAUAUUACGCGCGUUAAUCCGUGUCAGCGAUCAUCCUUAAUCCAAGGUGUAAUCAGCAGCGUAUCCAAAUGCAGCGCGACGCGAAGGACGAGGCGUGAAAUCGCCUCGUUUCUCGAGGUGUUCCCGGUCAAUCGUGGAUCGUUAAAAGAGAUCGGCUAACGUUACGGUGCGUAUAUUUCCGAGCGACCCAGUUGCAUAGCGAAUGCAGCAGCAACCGCUCGUAGGCUGUAGCCUAGCGUUGGGACUGAUACAGCGUCGAUGCUCGUCGAUGUCAAAUUACGAAUUUUCCGAUUCUAUAUCCUAUUGUAAUUAUCCACUUCGAUUUUCCCAAUUUCCACUACUCCACUCUAUCUUUGUUUCUUUUUUAAUGUUCCAUUUUUUGAAACGAGGAAUCGAAAGAGAGAGCUCGAGAAACCAAUGUGCUGUUUAUUACUUCGUUAAAAGAUAAGCGGCAUUUUAAAACGAUAAAAGACUUUGUAUUUGCGCGUGUAGGUUCGCUCGUUAACACGCAGUUGCGUUUGUAGGAAAUAAUUUAUGAAAACAUAUUCUUAGUCGCGUACUUGCAUAAAUAAUAUAGCCAACGUAAAGUAAACGAUAGAAAUGUAUAUCAAUGUAAACUAAAUAUACGUUUAAUUCGUAUGGAGAGGGUUGAGUAUCAAAUUGUUCGAACGUAAUCGAUACGUAUUGUAUCAGUUCUAUCGCUAGUUUCAUCACGCGCGGGUACCGUUGUCGUCGCGACACGUACCAAGCUUUCUCCGUUUCUUCUUCAUGCGAGCAGUUCGUUUCCCGAUUAAAACGAACGGUCUGUGCGCCUUGUCCAAGUCUUUUCAACGUGCCUUAUCUCUGCCGGUUCGAUGGAUCGGAGAGCAGCCUCGAAAUUAAGGCAUUUUUGUCCCGAUAACGAGACGAUCGUUAACGGUGAGCCACGACUGGGACGCGUUUUAAAUUGCUCGGACGUUUUACAGACAGGUUUGCCUCUCUUUGCUAACGGGGACCGGUUUUCUAAGCCGAUAGUGCGCAACAAAAAGACACGAUUAAUGGCGGAUCACUGGCAGUAUCGAUGGCAUUCGGAAUCCUCCGUUGUGCUCUGGCCUGGAUUGGAACCUCGCGUGACGGUUCUUACUUAGCUGUUUGGAAAAUAAUUGACUUACGACUCGAAACGGUAACUCUGUUGUAUGCGAUUAAUACCAGAACUGUCAACGACUACGGUAUAAGGCUUGUAAAAGAUAUACUAUCGUUGGCGAGUAUAUUCUUGAAAUAUUGAAAAUCAUUGGAACUAUGCAAAAUAUAGUUCUCUUCCAAGUAA